rnacentral:rRNA from 1 species
UCCGUAGGGUGCAGGCGUUAAUCGGAAUUACUGGGCGUAAAGCGUGCGCAGGCGGUUUGCUAAGACAGAUGUGAAAUCCCCGGGCUUAACCUGGGAACUGCGUUUGUAACUGGCAAGCUAGAGUGUGGCAGAGGGGGGUGGAAUUCCAAGUGUAGCAGUGAAAUGCGUAGAUAUUUGGAGGAACACCGACGGCGAAGGCAGCCCCCUGGGCUAACACUGACGCUCAUGCACGAAAGCGUGGGGAGCAAACAGG